UCAAUUCCAAAAUCAUGGACAGUUGUGCAAGUUCAUAAUGAAAAUAGCCUCACAUAUAGCAGUCAACAACUCAGCUCAUUCUGAAGAAACCAAUGGACACAAAACCUUGGGUAAGCACCUACCUGACCAAAACUCUAAUUUGUCUUAUGCAGGAACAUAUACUUCAACACAAGUUCUGGAAGAUCUCUCAUCACACACAACCAGUCAGGAAUGUAGUCUUCAGGAGGACCACCAAUCCAAUGUACCCCAUCAACGAGCCAUCUACCAACAACAAGGUACGUAUUUUUACCACGCAGGAACAAACUCACAACAGAGGUAGACAACCAAUUAGCACAUACACUUCUAUACACUCUGGGCCGGAGCGGCCACGGCGCUACUCAAUCCCAAUUCCCAAUCCCGGCAUCACUGUCUGUGCCUCGGUCUAUAUGCUUUACAGAUGCGGCUAUUUCACCGGACACGGCGACAUCCACCUGGGAGUUGUAUUCAUCAAACCCCACCACUCACCCAUGGGUUCAAUUUUCAGAGCACAAUCAUGUAAGAUUGAAAAGUAGGGCAGCUGCUAGCUCUAGAUUUAAAGUAAAUAGCUGAACCAGACAGAAGCAUACGUUGGGCCCUGGCUUGUCUGUAAUCAGGAAACUAAGUUUUAGUUAUUGGGCUAAGAUCCGGAGGAAUUGUAACUGAAAGAUCUCAGGCAAACGUGAGGGCUAACAAACUUGGGACAGAGAACAGAAGCAGUUAGUGUGGCGUCGCGCUCGCCCGCGGGCCUAGCCUCCAGCAUCCACACCACCCGCGGGACGGCGUCCGCGACCAUGGCCUGCUGCCGCAGGCCGGCCUUGCCGCGUUGUCGCAGAACUCCGCGAGCGCCGGGCGACAUCGGCGCGGGUGGCGG
rnacentral:misc_RNA from 1 species